rnacentral:misc_RNA from 1 species
GUCUCUUUAUUUAUUAAAUGUUUCAGGCUAAGAGACCUUCUAAGUCUUCUUCAUUCUGUGAGGAUGGGAAUACCCCGAUAAACGGGAUUAAUGGACUUAACAGGUCUGCUAAAAACCUGCGCAGAUCUCGACAGGGCCGUGGCCUUCCGAAGAAAGGAGGUGCUGGUGGAAAGGGAACCUGGGGAAAGCUAGGGGACGAGAUUGACCUCCCCUGGGUUGACCCCAACGACCCUAACUACGACUCCGACACUGUGGAGGGGAAGGAUAAGAAGCUCGUUAAGUUGAAUACUCUGGCUCCGGAGAUGUCGGAGGCUGAUGUCAAGAAGACUGUUGUUCCACUGAUUCUGGAAUAUUUUGAGAAUGGGGCCUCCGAAGAGGUUCUUGUGUCUCUGGAUGAAAUGUUGGAGAAUCUGGGCUCAAGACGGUGGAUGGUUGUUUGUUUAGCUAUUGAGCUGUCCAUGGACCGUAAACCUAGUCACAGGGAAUACACAUCAGUGUUAUUGUCCCAGCUCUACCUCAAGAUUGUCAGUCAACGAGAUAUUGGAAAAGCAUUUGAUUAUCUGCUGCGGACCUUGAACGAUCUGGUUCUCGACACCCCGGAUGCAUCAACCAUUCUCGGCAAUUAUAUUGCCCGGGCAAUCGCCGACGAUUGUAUCCCUCCAAAAUUUUUGAAAUCAUACAAGGGUCAUGUAUCUGAUGCUGAGGCUAAGAAGGCCCUGUGUCGAGCGGACACCUUGUUAUCUAUGAAGCACGGGUUGGUGAGGUUGGAUAAUGUGUGGGGGGUCGGAGGAGGGAUUAGACCGGUUAAAUACCUCGUCAACAGGAUGAUUAUGUUACUCCAGGAGUACCUGUGUAGCUGUGAUAUUGCUGAGGCUACUCGUUGCCUCGCUGAACUAGAGGUUCCUCACUUCCAUCACGAACUCGUUUACGAGGCUUCAGUGAUGGUAUUGGAGAGUACUCAUGUUAAAACUGAGGAAGCAAUGUGUAAAUUACUCUCCUCACUCUUCCGUAGUUUUGUGAUAACGAUUGAUCAGAUGAGGGCCGGGUUCCAUCGUCUAUAUGAAGACAUGGAAGAGUAUAGUUUGGAUGUUCCCAACGCGUACACUGUUCUCGGCAGAUGGGUCAUUCGAUGCAGACAGGCUGGAAUCAUCAACGACGAGAUAAUGCGUAAAGUUCCUCAGCGUGGACGCAAACGUUUUGUCUCUGAGGGAGAUGGAGGACUAGUCAAGGACUCCCUGGCCUGGUAGAUGAACUCCCGGCCAUGAAGGAUUCUGAGAAUUUUUAGUUUUUUCAGGACUCUGUUUUUUUGAAGGACUAAUAUUUAAAAUAAGAUGUUCUUUAUAAACAAGUAUCAAGAACAGAGGUUUUGGAAGAGUUCUCAGGCCUCGAAAGACAGAAUAUUCUUCGGGUCUCUGCUACCUUAGAACUUUUUUUUGAAGAACUUAGUUAUGAGGUCUUGUUCGUGAAGGACUAAUAUUUCUUUAAAAACCUGAAGGACUGUUCUCGAAAAUACAUAACGGUUCACAUAGAAUUUCCUGUCGAUGUAAAUAUUCUUUCGGUAAUGGGUAACUCUACUGUUAUUGAACAUUUUACCAUUUCUAUACUGAAACAGUUACCCAUUAAACAUAUUGUACUCCUCAAUAGAUUUCAUCUUAUUACGUUCAAUGGAGUUAAUUUAAAUUUCUUGUUAAAAUAUUGCAACUGUCCGCUAAUAUCUCAUUGUCGCCCAGUCGACCUCUUUGUUAAAUGCAUAUUUUUUUAAUAAUAUUGUAAUUUUUGUUAACACUUUAACCAACCCUGUUUCUCUGAAAUAUGAGGAAUAUAAGAGGUUUUUGUGUAUUGUAUUUGGGAAUGUGAUACUUUACCAAAAUCUUAAAUAAUAUUUUGUAAAAUUGAAAAUCUGAUGUUAUUUUCCAAUGAAUCAAGAUUUUCAGUUUUUCAGUGCUAAAUUGUUAAUUGCGCUGAAAUUUAAAAUUUGUAAUUUGAGUUCAAUAGCCGUACUGUUGCCGAUACAAUGUAUUAAUUUUGGUUUAUCAUUAGUUAAAGAUGUACUUAGUACUCUUGAACUCAAGUGAAUUGUUAUACCUUGCUGUACAUUUAGUUCUAUUGUACAGUGUUUACACUGUACAUUAUGUACUGUGUUCUUUUGAACUUUUACAAGAACUUACUCUUGAACUUGUACAAGAACUAACUCUUGAACUUGAACUAACUAUUGAAUAAACAAUUACAUCUCUUUA